rnacentral:tRNA from 1 species
AGAUGUAGCUCAGUGGUAGAGCAUUUGCCUGGCAUGCAUAAAGCCCUGGGCUUGAACCCCAGCACUCUA